rnacentral:snoRNA from 1 species
AUGUAAAGGCUAGGGCAUUUCCUGAAAAAAUUCUCGAACCUUUCUCAUGCUUCAUGAUAGCUCUCUAAAUCUUUCUACUUGAAAGUGUGGACCUCAUUCCUGAUUUU